AUGUCGUCACAACCUCCGAAGAUUCUUGUGUGGAAUGUACGUGGGCUAAACUCCCCGGCUCGGCGGAGCUCGGUAUACCAAGUGGUGGUUGCCUCUAGUGCAAGCAUUGUGUGCCUCCAGGAGACGAAAAUGGAAGUGAUCACGGUGGAUGUUGUUAGACAGUGUCUUGGCAAUAAAUUUGACGGUUUCUAUUAUGUUCCCGCGGUGGGUACUCGUGGUGAGAUUCUCCUAGCUUGGGAUAGUGUGGUGGUCUCUAUCUCAAAUAGGCAUGUCACGGCCAAUACAGUCACUGGCCUUGUCACCCAAGAUGGGAUGCCCAUGUGGUGGCUCACGGGGGUGUAUGGACCCCAGGGAGAUGCGGAUAAGAUUGAAUUUAUCCAAGAAUUGAGGGACGUACGUGAUCUGCAUGCGGGUGCUUGGACAGUUGUGGGUGAUUUCAACCUGCUCGUAAAUCCCGAAGACAAGAACAGAGUCACGUUUAACCGCAGGAUGAUGGCGAGGUUUCAUGCCUUCCUAAACCGGAUGGAACUUAAGGAGCUUUAUCCCAAUGGCAGACGCUACACUUGGUCGAAUGAGAGGCGGAACCCAACCAUGGAGAAGAUAGACCACAUCUUCGUAACC
rnacentral:rRNA from 1 species